rnacentral:rRNA from 1 species
GACGAACGCUGGCGGCGUGCUUAACACAUGCAAGUCGAACGGAAAGGCCCUGCUUUUGUGGGGUGCUCGAGUGGCGAACGGGUGAGUAACACGUGAGUAACCUGCCCUUGACUUUGGGAUAACUUCAGGAAACUGGGGCUAAUACCGGAUAGGAGCUCCUGCUGCAUGGUGGGGGUUGGAAAGUUUCGGCGGUUGGGGAUGGACUCGCGGCUUAUCAGCUUGUUGGUGGGGUAGUGGCUUACCAAGGCUUUGACGGGUAGCCGGCCUGCGAGGGUGACCGGCCACAUUGGGACUGAGAUACGGCCCAGACUCCUACGGGAGGCAGCAGUGGGGAAUAUUGCACAAUGGGCGGAAGCCUGAUGCAGCAACGCCGCGUGCGGGAUGACAGCCUUCGGGUUGUAAACCGCUUUCGCCUGUGACGAAGCGUGAGUGACGGUAAUGGGUAAAGAAGCACCGGCUAACUACGUG